rnacentral:rRNA from 1 species
UACAGGGGGGGCAAGUGUUACUCAUCUUGAUUGGGCGUAAAGGGCGUGUAGGUGGCUAAUGGGGUUUAUUGUGAAGUUGUUUGAAUGGUUCAAAUAAGUAAUUCAUAACUCAUUAGCUAGAGUUUGUGGGGUGGUUGCGGUACUCUCAGUGUAAAGGUAACAUUUAACGAUAUUGACGGGGACUCUCAAAAGCGAAAGCAGCAUCCAAAAACAUAACUGACACUGAAACGCGAAAGCAUGGGGAGCAAACCGG